GUGAAUCAUCAAAUUUUUGAACGCAAAUUGAGCUUCCUGGCAUCCGGGGAAGUAUGCCUGUUUGAGGGACAGUAUUAAUAAAAAUCGGUUUAGUUACAAAUUGUGACGUUUCCGGAGUUUGGGCUAUCUUAAGAUUUUUGGUUAAGAGGUUUAAAAUUGACCUUUUUUGCGCAUUUUUAAACGUACAUAAAUUUUUUUUAUUCGUCUAUUUUUAAUGCGAAAAUCUUAUUAGAUGCGAUCACAACGUGUGGCUUUGUGUCAAUAAAAUUAUCAUGAUUUGACCUGAAAUA
rnacentral:misc_RNA from 1 species